rnacentral:rRNA from 1 species
AUUGAACGCUGGCGGCAUGCCUUACACAUGCAAGUCGAACGGCAGCACGGGGGCAACCCUGGUGGCGAGUGGCGAACGGGUGAGUAAUACAUCGGAACGUGCCCUGUAGUGGGGGAUAGCUCGGCGAAAGCCGGAUUAAUACCGCAUACGACCUACGGGUGAAAGCGGGGGAUCGCAAGACCUCGCGCUACAGGAGCGGCCGAUGUCAGAUUAGGUUGUUGGUGGGGUAAAGGCCACCAAGCCGACGAUCUGUAGCUGGUCUGAGAGGACGACCAGCCACACUGGGACUGAGACACGGCCCAGACUCCUACGGGAGGCAGCAGUGGGGAAUUUUGGACAAUGGGCGCAAGCCUGAUCCAGCCAUGCCGCGUGCGGGAAGAAGGCC